rnacentral:rRNA from 1 species
UACAGAGGGUGCAAGCGUUAAUCGGAGUUACUGGGCGUAAAGGGCGCGUAGGCGGUCAAGUGAGUGUGAUGUGAAAGCCCUGAGCUUAACCUAGGAAGUGCAUCGCAAACGAUUUGACUGGAGUAUAAGAGAGGGUGGCGGAAUUUCCGGUGUAGCGGUGAAAUGCGUAGAGAUCGGAAGGAACGUCAAUGGCGAAGGCAGCCACCUGGCUUAAUACUGACGCUGAGGCGCGAAAGCGUGGGGAGCGAACAGG